ACCUGAAUCAUAGCUCGUUAAUAGUAAAAAUACAUCUCUUAUUAAAAAAAAGGCAAGAUACAUUAAUUGAAAAAAUGCGAUAACUAAUGACAAGCAAUCUGAUUGAUAUUUUCUCAAGACGAGCAAAUCAAGUAAAAUUUAUGGUUAGGGAAAGAACUACCAUCCUGUUUCUGCUUAUAUUUCUGCAUACUCGCUUUUAUUUUUCAGAAAUAAAGAUAAACAGACAUCACUUAGACGUGUUAGAAGAAACUUAGAAAUAUAUCAAUUUAAGUCUUUACCCACAAUAAUAGAUCUCAAUAGUCUAUAAGGAAUAAGAGUAAGAGAGUCAAAAUCAAGCCUUUAUCAUCAUGUCAGUAAUCCAGAAAGGGUGAAAUGGCAACUAUAUUGGUGGUGCCACUCAAUUCUAGCACUGAUCAAUGAACUUGGAUGGAAGAAUGAUAGUUCUUUCAAUGACGUGGAGGGAUGGAGAUCACAUAUUUGCAUAGAAGAAUGAAGUUUCCAUCUUUUUUCAUUAUACUAAAGAACUGUGCCUUAAGACUCCUAACCAAGCUCCAGAAAGUAGGACUAAGAAAAUUCAAAAGUCCGAUCAAGAAGAAUGCACUUAACAUCCAAAAAAGAGAUAUUGAUCUAGAAGAUACACAUUUCAGUACGACAUAAUCAGAGUGGUAACAAAAUUGUUGCACCUACUGUUUCAUUAGUAAGGGCAGCUUUAGCACAAGGUACAAGAGGCACAAUGUUGUAUGCUUUUGAUGUGAAGAUGAUCAUCGAAGUUGCCAAAGUAAAAAGGGAUCUACGACGUGAUGGCUGCAAUUUCCCUGCAAUUUGUAGAAGUCUCUUUUAGUCGCAGAGAUGGCCUAAUGAAGAUCCACUCAUGGUGAUGAAAAAUAACUUCCAUUCAAAUGCAUGCGGAAUUUCAACUUCAUCUUUACUCUUUAUUCUUACUGAAGUGUUGCACCACGUUUAAACUCUUUAGGUUAUAGCCUUUCUGCCAUUUAUAUGUCGUGUAAAUAAACCAUAGAUUUUUUUAUUCAGUAAAAAAAAACGGCUGUUUGUUUAUAAAGGUAAA